UAUUGAACACUUGAUUGAGGCAGGUGGAACAUCUAUGGGUGUUCUGUGGAACUGGAUUGCGGAAAAUGCCGUGUAGAUGGCCUAUUUGUUUGUAAUAGCUUCAUGAUUCUGAAACUUGUGCUCUCAUCUCCUAGGCUUCUUUGUCUUUAGUCUGACACACAGUGGGCACUUUGGGAAGUGAGCUGUCAAUAAGUUCCCCCUGAGGAGAGAGAUAGUUGCACUCAAAUAAGAUAAAUAUGUCCUCAGGUGCAUAAAGGACAAGGCAUCUUUUUUUAAAUCUUUUUUUUUUUUUUUUUUUUGUAAUUUUGUGGUAGUUUUUACACCACCAUAUAAAUAUAAAUACAUAAUUAGAAAUAUAAAAAUAUUUCUCUACUAUAUUUCCUGGAACUGAGCUCUGUAACAUCUUCAUGAGUUCUUCUUGAUCAAGCUCAGCUGGUCUCAAUCUUCAAUUAUAUGUCUGUAAAAGGUAGUCAUAUAAGGAGGGCUCUUUGGAAGGACCUUAGCCUCCAAGUUGUGUGGUCUAAGCUCCUGAUUUAUCUAUUUUAGCUGAACCGUGAAUGCUGCUAAGUGAUUGAUUCACCUAGAAGAUAUCUCAGAUUGCUUCUGGGCUUCUUGUUUUAUUUAUAUAGUUAUCUGGGCAUUUGUGACUAGUUUGGGCUGCAGUGUUUGGUCAGAAUACUCUCCAAAUUAGGGUCUAAAUCUGCUAGCUCAUAGUGCCAUUGUGUGGAGGAAAAGCUAACACCAGCCCCAGAGCUGUGCUUUAUCAGAAUCCAGCAGUAAGCACACUCAAUCAAGAACAGUGGGGUAUGGCACAGCUUUGUAGGACAGGUUACCUGGAGCUCUGAUCAUAGUUGCUAAGCAAAUAUAGUCGCAAGUUGCUAAGCAAAUAGAUCCAUAUGUUUGGAGCUUGGAAGAUGACACAAGUGUUUGAAUAUGAAUUUUAUAUUAUUAUUAUGAAUUAUGCACACAUUACAUGAAAUGAAAUUCUUUUUUUCUGUGGUGUAUUUAAUACAUUUUUAUUUAUGCCAAUUUUUUUUUCUUUGUUUGCUAGGGAUAAGAUUUCAGAAUUUAACAUACAAACAUAACAUGCAUACAAAAACUGAAUGUCAAAAAUACACAUUUCAUAUAAAUUAGGUCAAAGGUGAAUAAUCCAGUAUGUCCAGGGAAAGUAACUAGCUAGAACAUUAUCUAAAUAGUUAGACUUGGCAUGUACUAAGCAUCUAGUGCUUAACCUGACUGUAGAAAAAGAGAUACUUGAGUACAACGUAAAAGUUUUGAUGCACUUAUUUCAUUCCAGCUCAUCUUCUAUUUUUUGUAACUCCACUUCUCCUGUUCAUUUCACUUUGUGGUCAUGGUGCGAGCGCGGCAGAUGACUGAUUGGUGAUGUUGAGUUUGACCCCUUUGAAAGUGUCUACUUUGCCCUGGGAAUCUAGGAUGAUUCAUCUUUGAUCUAAUUUACAUAAAAUCUGUAUUUUGGAGAUUGUAAUUUUUGUAUUUAUGGUUCUGAAUUUUUAAAAUCUGAAAUCCAACAGGAAAGGAAAAAGAUGUCUUUAUAAAGCAGUAUUUAUUGCAAAUCCUGUGUCAAAACAUCAAUUUCUAACUUUAUCAAGAAGUCUCAGCAUGUACGCACACACGCACGAGAAGAUAUCCAGGUGAUUUUCACCACCCCUGAUGGUCAAAGGAGGUUAAUUAGAAACAUCUUUAUGAACGUUGAGAAACACCAAGAGCACUGGGUCCAGCAGAUACAUUCUUAUUUCUACUUCUAUGACGUUUCAUGAUGCUCAGAGUUACUGCAGGCAGCAUCACACAGACCUGGCCAGUGUGAUAAACGAAGAGGAAAAUGUAAUUAUUAAACAAUUAGUCUCUUCUAAUUCUUGGUUUGGUCUGUUCAGAGACCUCUGGAAGUGGUCAGACCAGAGCAACUUCUCUACCGUUAGUUGGGUGUCGGGAAAACCGUGGGGUGCGGGGAUCGAUGAUAAUUGUGCUAAUUUUAUUAAAGGCCAGGUUGACGCUGCACAAUGCUCUGAGAUGAUGCCUUUCUUCUGUCUCUCAGAUUUUACAAAAGAACAAAUCAUGAGAAUGAAGGUUAAAUCGAAUCAGGAUGUGAAUGAUCCUGCAGUGAAGGCAGCAAUCUUACAGAAGAUCAAGCAAAAACUGAAGGAGCAUGGGAUAGCAGAGAACACCACAAUGAAAUGGAGAGAGCAACCAGAUGGCAUGGUCUUUCACAAGAUAAUAAUGUAAAUAAUGUUGAAGAAAAUAAGACAAGGCAAAAAUGUGACCUCUAAAUCAGUUAAUGUAAGCAUUCUUUUCUUAAGAUAGAAAUUGAACAGACCUUACUUUUAGUGCCUUUUGGAAUGUAUUGCUAAAUAAAACAAGAAUGAAAAUCAUCAUCAUCAGCUUUAAUUAAUAAGUUUUGCUAAGUUUUAAACAGGCAUUUUUUAAUUAAUUAGUCUACAGUCCACAUGCAUUAGAGAUGUUAACAGAUUAUAAAAUAGCACGAAGUGGAAUUUUGUUAUUUUAUUCUUUUUAUUGUUAUAAUAAAAAGAUAGUUCAUGCAGUUGCUCAUGUGCAUACUCAUGAUUACAUUGUACUUGUCCUGUAUCCUUACAAUACAGUCACUUGAAAAAGAAAGUACACUCUCCUUCAAUGUUUUUAUUUAUAAGUGCCUAAAUAAUAAUUGUGUGGUCCUGCCCAACAUUCAUAAACCAAAAAAAAAAAAACAGAUUUCAAUAUGUAGUCAUUUUUUCCAAAAAGUAACCACCAUAAUCUUGUGUAAUUCAUUAGUAACACCUGGCUGCUAGUUAUUCUCUUAAUGAUUGUGGAAGUAGGAACGGUGUACUUAUUUUUUCCCACCUGGUUUCUGAAUGUUUACUUUUGAAAAAAUGACUACAUAAUGAAAUGCGUUUUUUUUUUUUUUUCUUUUGCCAUCUGAAGUAGGUAAGGAUCACACUAUUGUUAUUUAGACCCUGAUAAAUAAAAACUUAGAAUUAAAGAAGGAUGUACUUUUCUCAUGACUGUAUAGUGUUGAAUGCUUACAACAGAGGUUUAAUUAUUUAUCCAAUGAGUAUAUAUGAUUACAAAAUAUUUAAAAUUAUUUAGCAUUUAGGUAAUGUAUUUGUAAUAUUAAAAUAAUGGUUUAUAACCUAUUGCUAUAUAUGUAUGGUGCUUAAAAUCCUUUUAACAAAUGUGUAAGGCAUGAAUUCAAUAGUUAUACAUG